CCUACGGGAGGCAGCAGUGAGGAAUAUUGGUCAAUGGACGAGAGUCUGAACCAGCCAAGUAGCGUGAAGGAUGACUGCCCUAUGGGUUGUAAACUUCUUUUAUAAAGGAAUAAAACGAGGCACGUGUGCCUUUUUGCAUGUACUUUAUGAGUAAGGAUCGGCUAACUCCGUGCCAGCAGCCGCGGUAAUACGGAGGAUCCGAGCGUUAUCCGGAUUUAUUGGGUUUAAAGGGAGCGUAGAUGGGUUGUUAAGUCAGUUGUGAAAGUUUGCGGCUCAACCGUAAAAUUGCAAUUGAUACUGGCAGUCUUGAGUACAGUUGAGGUAGGCGGAAUUCGUGGUGUAGCGGUGAAAUGCUUAGAUAUCACGAAGAACCCCGAUGGCGAAGGCAGCUUACUAAACUGUGACUGACAUUGAUGCUCGAAAGUGUGGGUAGCAAACAGGAUUAGAUACCCCUGUAGUC
rnacentral:rRNA from 1 species